GAAUAUGUUGACACGAGAGAAGAACUUAUGGCCAUGAUGCGUCCUGCGACACCAUUGCUAGCCAUGUGUAAAGCUCGUCCCAUUGUCCAUAAGAUUCUUAAUGCUUUUGCUUGAAGUGUAACUAAAAAAAUAUGUACUAAAAAAAUUAUCAUGUCAAAAAAUCAAAUAGACAAACAUAUAACUUAUACAAAUUUCUAAAUUUUAAUAACUCGAAUUAAUUUUUUUUUUUUUUUGAGAAAUAUAGAGACUGACCGUUUACUAGGUCAGUUUUGGAGAGCCAUAGGUAAAGAGAUUAGAGAGUGAUGAUUGUUUCACAGGACAAAAGACGAUGACUUAAAAAGUCAACUCCAGUCUUCUCUCUUUUCGUUCCACCAAUAAUUUCAAUUCUCUAUUUCUCUUUUAAUCUCAUCUUCUUCUUCAAUCCAGUCUUCACAUCGACCACACAUGUUUCUUCAUCCAUUGACCUCAAAUACUUGACUUUCCCUCUUUCUCCUUCUCUGCAUCAAAGCUAUGGAGAAUUUCUGUUUUCAAAACUCUGUUUCUCUCUUUGUAUCGAUUAUGGUUCUUGUUCUUCUUCCUCGUCUCACUCUUUCUGCUACUUCGACGUACACUCGUCCUGAGAAGUUUUACGUCAACUGUGGAUCGGAUUCUAAUGUCUUUUAUGGUGGUCAGACCUUCGUUGGAGAUAAGAACUUCAGUGGUAACUCUGUUUCCUUCACCAAUAGAACUGAAGUCAUCGACAACCAAUCGUCCGUUGUGCCUGAAAUCUACCGGACGGUUAGGAUAUUCAGACGCCCUUCUUCUUACGAGUUCAAACUUGAUUCUCUUGGUCUGCACUUUGUGCGUCUCCAUUUCUCUGUUGUGUUUUCUCGGGCAGAUCUUUUAACUGCUCGGUUCACUGUCUCUGCAAUUUCUGGUUCUAAUCAUCACUUGAAAAGUUUCCCGCUUCAGAAUUUCACUGAGACCCCAAGAGUUGAAGAGUUUCUCCUGAUGAUGGACUCGCUGGAGUUCGAAAUUCGAUUAGUGCCGGAUCAUUCCUCUUUGGCUUUCGUCAACGCCAUUGAAGUGUUCCCUGCUCCUAAUGACCUCGAAAUUCAGCCAGAUUUCGACAAGAAUCUGCAUAUGAUUUACAGAUUAAACGUAGGAGGUGAGAAAAUCACACCGGAUAAUGAUACCUUGGGACGAACUUGGUCGCCUGAUGAUGAAGACUUUCUCUACCGAAAAGAUUCUGCGAGGAACAUUAAUUCAACACAAACGCCUAACUACAAUACAGCAGGGUCACUGUCAGCCACGGAAUUCACUGCUCCUGCUUUCGUCUACAAGACAGCUAAAGCAAUGAACCGCAGCUCGAAUGAGCGGGUGGGGAUGUUGACGAAUGUUACAUGGUCGUUCAAGGUCAAAAGUAACUAUAGACACUUCAUCAGGAUUCAUUUCUCUGAUAUUUUAAGUAACUUCUCAAACUCCGACUCCGAUUUCUAUCUCUAUGUAAAUGGGUACUGGCGAGUAGAUGUAAAGCCUUCAGAGCAGCCUAAGUUGGCAACUCCGUUUUUUAUCGAUGUCGUGAAUGUCUCUGAUGGUUCUGGACUCUUGAAUAUUAGUAUAGGUACUAAGGAGGCCGAUAAAGAUGCUGGUUUUCUGAAUGGUCUGGAGAUGAUGGAGUUUUUGAUUAAAUCUGGUUCUGAUUCUUCAAAUAGAAGCAGUUCCCGGGUUCAUAUCAUCGCUGGUUGUGUUUCUGCUGCUGCAUCGGCUCUGGUCUUGAGUUUGUUGUUUAUGGUAUUCUUGAAGCGGAGGAGAUCGAAGAAGACUAAGCCAGACGUUGAAGGCACUGUAUGGUCUCCUUUGCCAUUGCACAGAGGUGGAAGUUCAGACAAUAGACCUAUCUCACAAUACCACAACUCGCCAUUACGCAACCUACACUUAGGCUUAACGAUUCCCUUCACAGACAUUCUGAGCGCUACAAACAAUUUCGACGAGGAGUUGUUGAUCGGGAAAGGCGGGUUCGGAGAUGUUUACAAAGCUAUUCUUCCUGAUGGAACCAAAGCCGCUAUCAAAAGAGGCAAAACCGGCUCAGGACAAGGCAUCUUAGAGUUUCAAACCGAGAUUCAAGUCCUCUCAAGAAUCCGGCACAAACACCUCGUCUCUCUAACGGGCUACUGCGAAGAAAACUCGGAAAUGAUCCUCGUCUACGAGUUUAUGGAGAAAGGUACACUUAAAGAACAUCUAUACGGCUCGAAUCUACCUCCCUUGUCAUGGAAACAAAGACUAGAGAUCUGCAUUGGAGCAGCUAGAGGUUUACAUUAUCUCCACAGUUGCGCAGAAGGAGUAAUCAUACACAGAGACGUCAAAUCCACAAACAUACUACUAGACGAGAACACUAUAGCCAAAGUCGCCGAUUUCGGACUCUCGAAACUCACGAUUCGUAAUCAAGAUCCAACUAAUAUCAGCCUAAACAUCAAAGGAACAUUCGGUUACUUAGAUCCAGAGUAUCUCCAAACACAUAUCUUAACAGAGAAAUCUGACGUUUACGCAUUCGGAGUCGUCCUCCUCGAGGUUUUGUUAGCGAGACCAGCUCUAGAUUGUACUCUACGUUACGAAGAAGCGAAUCUAGCGGAAUGGGCGUUGUUCUGCAAAUCAGAAGGUAAAAUCGAUGAGAUCUUAGAUCCGAGUUUGAUAGGUCAAAUUGAGACGAAUUCUUUGAAGAAAUUCAUGGAGAUUGCUGAGAAAUGUUUGAAAGAGUGUGGAGAUGAGAGACCGAGUAUGGGAGAUGUGAUUUGGGAUCUUGAGUAUGUUCUUCAGCUUCAGAUGAUGACGAUUCGUAGAGAAGCUCAUGAAGAAGAUAGUACGGCGAUUGUCUCCUCUGGUGGUUCGUUGGUGGCUCCGAGGUUGAUGGUGAGUGAUUCGUUUAGCACGAACUCGUUUGUUCAGAAGGAUGAUGAAUCGAAGAACAGAUUUGGAUUUACGGAUUCGUCGGAGACUCGAGUUUUUUCGCAGUUGAAGAUCUCUGACGCAAGAUGAUAAAAUCAUUUUCAAUUGUGUGUAAAAUUAUAAAUUUCUUGAAAUGUGUCUCUGGUUCAAUUUCAAAAUUUAAAAGCCGGUUAUUUCCGGUUUAUAGAUAAUCGGAAAUAUGGAGAAUUGGAGACGUUUUCCAAGUUCACCAAAUAUUACAUUUUGGAUGUAAACAUUAUUCCGACUUGGUUGGGAUAAACUGACGAAACUUGAAAUUUAAAACUGUGGCUAUAACUUUGUCAUUUAAAAAAAAAAGAAGAUAGAAAUACAUGACAAUAUAACUAUACAUAUUAAGUAUCAUCCAAAAAAAAAAAAACAUCAUCCAUCAAAAAUUUAUAAAUUAGCGAUUUAAAUAUACUUGGAUCAUAAAAAAAUAUAAUUCGAUAAGACUAAUCAAAUUUGAAUACCAUAAAGUCAUUAAACGAAUCAUGUAACAAUAAUUCGACAAAAUGAAAAUAUAUCACGUAAAAGAAUAAUCACAUGUAUCGGGAAAAAUAAAAAUAAAAAAUCAAUCAAACUAAUAUAUAUGUCAAACCGUGUAAUAUGGACUUUGGGACACCUUGAGUAAAUAUUAGAGAGUGAUGUUUCUUCCUUAUUAUUCAAACCAAUAAUUUCAAUUCUCUAUUUUUCCUUCAAUCUCCUCUUCUUCCAUCCUCUUCACAUAAACCACAAAUGUUUCUUAAUCAAUUGACCUCAAAUACUUGACUUUCAUUAUUUACUCCUCUCUCUCCCGUCUAAGCUAUGGAGAAUCUCUGUUUUUUGAACGUUGUUUCUCUCUUUGUGAUGAUGGUGGUUAUUGUUCUUCUUCCUCAGCUCACUCUUUCUGCAUCAUCUACAUAUCCUCGUCCCGAGAAGUUUUAUGUCAACUGUGAGUCGCGGUCUAAUGUCACAUAUGGUGGUCGGACUUUCGUUGGAGAUAUGACCUUGGGUGGUAACUACGUUUUCUUCACCAGUGAAGGAACUGAAGCCAUCAACCAAUUUGUUUUGUGUUGCUCAAUUUCCAUAACUUAGCUGAAUUCUUGUACUCAAAGAUCUUGUAUAGCUGGCUAUGCUACUUGGGAUGGCGGAUCCGAAUUUAUUUUAUGAAUGUUGAUAUAUU
rnacentral:lncRNA from 1 species